rnacentral:misc_RNA from 1 species
UCUUUCCAUCGUCCAAUCUUUGCCUGUGAAAGUCAUUAAACAUUUAACACCACAUUCUUCCCUAGCCUUACUACAGUCCACAAAAGAAGUUAUAGCAUUUACCUCAGUUCCAUAAAUGCAUAGCAAUUUUGAUUUUCAUUUUUCAUGUUUUGGGGAAAGAGUUGUAACACAUUUGUAAAAGUUUAUUGGGUUCAAUGGAAAACAGCACUUAAUUAUUCUUUCAUUACUUUUGUGGCAAAAACAUAAUCCAUACACAGCAUGAUAGCGAGUUUUUACAAAUUCUUAAUGCUCACCAACCAUCUAGGAGAUUCGGGAAUGAAGAAUAGCCCAAGCACUUGAAAAAGACAAGGAAUAGUUCCAAUCAGAGCCAAAAUUCUCCAGGACACAAAAGCUCCGACAAGAUACAUUGCUGAAGCACCACAACAAAUCAUCAACUGAUGCACUGUUGUGAAUCCACCACGAAUGUUCUUGGGUGUAAUCUCAGCUAUGUAAAUAGGUACCUAUUCAUUAAUGGGAUGACAAUGAAUUAAUCCCCAUUCUCCAUACAUGAAUGACUAAUCAAAUGAAUUGCAGUACUUGCAAAAAAAAG